rnacentral:rRNA from 1 species
CGCGUGAGUAACCUGCCCUGGAGUGGGGAAUAACAGCUGGAAACAGCUGCUAAUACCGCAUAAUGCAGUUGGGUCGCAUGGCUCUGACUGCCAAAGAUUUAUCGCUCUGGGAUGGACUCGCGUCUGAUUAGCUAGUUGGUGGGGUAACGGCCCACCAAGGCGACGAUCAGUAGCCGGACUGAGAGGUUGGCCGGCCACAUUGGGACUGAGACACGGCCCAGACUCCUACGGGAGGCAGCAG